GUGCUCAUUUUGGCAGCACAUAUACUAAAAUGGGAAUGAUACAGAGAACAUUAGCACGGCUCCUACACAAGAAUGACAUAAAAAUUGGGAAAUAUUACACAUUAAA